UACGAAGGGGGCUAGCGUUGUUCGGAAUUACUGGGCGUAAAGAGCGCGCAGGCGGUCGGAUAAGUCGAAUGUGAAAGCCCCCGGCUCAACUGGGGAGGGUCAUUCGAUACUGUUCGACUGGAAGGCAGGAGAGGGAAGCGGAAUUCCCGGUGUAGUGGUGAAAUGCGUAGAUAUCGGGAGGAACACCUAUGGCGAAAGCAGGUUCUGGGCCAUCACUGACGCUGAGUUGCGAAAGCUAGGGGAGCAAACAGG
rnacentral:rRNA from 1 species